rnacentral:rRNA from 1 species
AGCAUGCGGAUUAAUUCGAUGCAACGCGAAGAACCUUACCAAGGCUUGACAUAUUCGAGAACGGGCCAGAAAUGGUCAACUCUUUGGACACUCGUUUACAGGUGGUGCAUGGUUGUCGUCAGCUCGUGUCGUGAGAUGUUCGGUUAAGUCCGGCAACGAGCGCAACCCUCGUCCUAUGUUGCCAGCACGUUAUGGUGGGAACUCAUGGGAUACUGCCGUGGUCAACACGGAGGAAGUGGGGAUGACGUCAAAUCAUCAUGCCCCUUAUGUCUUGGGCUUCACGCAUGCUACAAUGGCCGGUACAAAGGGCUGCGAUACCGCGAGGUGGAGCGAAUCCCAAAAAGCCGGUCUCAGUUCGGAUUGGGGUCUGCAACUCGACCCCAUGAAGUCGGAGUCGCUAGUAAUCGCAGAUCAGCAACGCUGCGGUGAAUACGUUCCCGGGCCUU